UACAUCUUGCUUUCCUCUGCUUAUUUGCAGGAAAUCUAAGCAAUCGAACGUCUGUAGAUUUACUUUUACAAUUUGGUACCACACAAUAACGCAAUGUUUAAAGGUUUGAGUACUUAUAUAUGUAAUAAUAGUCGACUCACGCGGAAACUACGUGUGGAGUAUAGUCUAUCGAUAAGUCCCAAAAUGGCCGCUGCCGCGUAGAAUCACGGGAGCGUGUCCUGACCUUCUUAUAUAGACCUUGCUGCAAAGAGGCGCUAUUAGUGCCCCCGAGCGGGAAAGUUUCAGAAGAAAGAUACCACAGAACCUCCAGUCUCGUAAUACUUCUUUACUGUAUGAUCCACUUAAUUUUUUUACAAAUAUUAUUAUUUGUGAAAGCUGGCAACACUUGUGAGCUGUUCGCCAUUCGCUUGUGACGUAUUUCAAAUCAACACAAGGUUUACAAAGAUGAUUAUACC